rnacentral:rRNA from 1 species
UACAGAGGGUGCAAGCGUUAAUCGGAAUUACUGGGCGUAAAGCGUGCGUAGACGGUAGCGUAAGUCGGGUGUGAAAGCCCCGGGCUCAACCUGGGAAUGGCAUUCGAGACUGCUCUGCUAGGGUGCGGAAGAGGGGAGCGGAAUUUCCGGUGUAGCGGUGAAAUGCGUAGAUAUCGGAAGGAACAUCAGUGGCGAAAGCGGCUUCCUGGUCCAGCACCGACGUUCAGGCACGAAAGCGUGGGGAGCAAACAGG